UACUGCGGCCUAUCAGCUUGUUGGUGAGGUAAUGGCCCACCAAGGCGAUUACAGGUACGGGCUCUGAGAGGAGAGGCCCGGAGAUGGGUACUGAGACAAGGACCCAGGCCCUAUGGGGCGCAGCAGGCGAGAAAACUUUGCAAUGUGCGAAAGCACGACAAGGUUAAUCCGAGUGAUUUCUGCUAAAGGAAUCUUUUGUUAGUUCUAAAAAUACUAGUGAAUAAGGGGUGGGCAAGUUCUGGUGUCAGCCGCCGCGGUAAAACCAGCACCUCAAGUGGUCAGGAGGAUUAUUGGGCCUAAAGCAUCCGUAGCCUGUUCUAUAAGUUUGCGGUUAAAUCUAUACGCUCAACGUAUAGGCUGCCGUAAAUACUGUAGAGCUAGGGAGUGGGAGAGGUAGACGGUACUCGGUAGGAAGGGGUAAAAUCCUUUGAUCUAUCGAUGACCACCUGUGGCGAAGGCGGUCUACCAGAACACGUCCGACGGUGAGGGAUGAAAGCUGGGGGAGCAAACCGGAUUAGAUACCCGGGUAGUCCCAGCUGUAAACUAUGCAAACUCAGUGAUGCAUUGGCUUGUGGCCAAUGCAGUGCUGCAGGGAAGCCGUUAAGUUUGCCGCCUGGGAAGUACGUACGCAAGUAUGAAACUUAAAGGAAUUGGCGGGGGAGCACCACAAGGGGUGAAGCCUGCGGUUCAAUUGGAUUCAACGCCGGG
rnacentral:rRNA from 1 species